UGCGUAGGUGGCUAAUUAAGUCAGUGGUGAAAGCCUGCAGCUCAACUGUAGAGGUGCCAUUGAUACUGGUUAGCUUGAGUAUGGACGAGGUAGGCGGAAUUUGUGGUGUAGCGGUGAAAUGCAUAGAUACCACAAAGAACACCGAUAGCGAAGGCAGCUUACUGGACCAUAACUGACACUGAGGCACGAAAGCGUGGGGAGCGAACAGGAUUAGAUACCCUGGUAGUCC
rnacentral:rRNA from 1 species